AAAACAACAUUAGCUUUAUAAAUUAUAAAUUGGUAAAAUUAUAUUCUACUUAAUUCAUCAAAAAGGCAAAAAUAUGGGUGUAAUUGUCAAAUUCAUUUAUAUUAUGAUUAUCUUUUUUUUCCUAUUUUUUGUUGUAGUAAACAUUGAUGCUGCAGCUGAAUGUUUUACUCAUUAUGAUUGUCCAUCAAGUUAUUGCCCGUCAACUUUUAUAGCAAGGUGUGUUGAGAGCCAGUGUAUAUGUAGUAAAAGGAAAAAGAUUAAUUUCUUAUGAUUGCAGGGUAUUAGACAUAAUUUCAAGAUUUCGGUUGUCCACAAAUAAAUUGGUCUCUCCUUUAAAACCAAAGUGUAUUUAGAUUUGGGUGGUUUGUGUUAGAAUAAUGUUCUAUAUUAUAUACAAAAACCGUAAUAAUAUUUCAUAAAUUUCAUGUAAUUAUGAUGUUAGACAUUUACAAACGUGUCUAUGACUUUUUGAAAUUAGCUUUGUUUACAUUGUGCUA